UGGGGAAUAUUGGGCAAUGGGCGCAAGCCUGACCCAGCAACGCCGCGUGAGGGAAGAAGGUCUUCGGAUUGUAAACCUCUGUCCUUGGGGACGAAAAAAAUGACGGUACCCAAGGAGGAAGCUCCGGCUAACUACGUGCCAGCAGCCGCGGUAAUACGUAGGGAGCGAGCGUUGUCCGGAAUUACUGGGCGUAAAGGGUGCGUAGGCGGCUUGGCAAGUCAGAUGUGAAAUCCCCGGGCUUAACUCGGGAGUUGCAUUUGAAACUGCUAGGCUUGAGUGCAGGAGAGGAAAGCGGAAUUCCUAGUGUAGCGGUGAAAUGCGUAGAUAUUAGGAGGAACACCAGUGGCGAAGGCGGCUUUCUGGACUGUAACUGACGCUGAGGCACGAAAGCGUGGGGAGCAAACAG
rnacentral:rRNA from 1 species